AUGCUUCUAUAUACACCCAUGGGAGAAUACAGACUGAUACAAGCUUUACACCAACAACAAGAGUAUGGGUCAGAUAUAAGUCAGCAGAUUGGCCACAACUACAAACAAACAAUGGUUCAAACUAAGAAAAAUGGAGAACCAACCGUACAUACAGAUUGGAUACCCCGGGCUGCAGAUACUUUGGCGUCUCAAUUAUUAACUGAUUCCAUGAAUAGACCGAUACAGAACAUUCACACUAAACAAUUCAACCUGGACCAAAAUGUUAACCAAGAGGAAAGCCUAUCACAUAUGCAAUCUCGCUCAAACCUAAUGGUUAAGAGAGCAUCUCCUUUCUCCAACUCUCAAGAGACACCACCAACCAAGAAGUAUGCCCCUGAUGGUGAGGCACAAGUUCCAUCAUUGCAGGGGGGAUAA
rnacentral:rRNA from 1 species